AUCGCUCGCUUGGCACUGCCGCUGAGCCGAGACAAGAAAAAGGAGGAGGAAGGGGAGGAAGAUGGAUGUGUUUACGGUGGUUACCAUGAGCACCGCUUCCCAGAAAUCACUGCUGGUAAACACUUAGAGCACGUGGUGUGACAACGAACGGACCACAUUACCCACUAGUGUUUACUAUUUUGAAGAAAACUAAAUAAAUAAAAAUUAAAACUACGUUCAGAUAUUUAACUCGUCUACAUUUGAUGUAUUUCCAUAAAAAUACAUCAAUACUGAAUUUAGACGUAAGUAUCUAUUGUGUCUUUACUUAAGCAGAGCCUCUUUUUUAUUUUUUUACAAGUUUUGAACGUAUGUAAAGGUGCUUAAAUGUCAUGUUUGAUUAUCGGAGGCUUUAACCUGAUUUAGGUAAAUACCAGCCAUCGGAAAUCUUUCUGUCUUUUGUUUGAUAAGUUUCUCUCUUUCUGUCAGAUAUAGAUUAUGUCUCAUUUGGUCAGAUGGUUGCUGUAUCAUCCUCUGAUCUCAUCUCACAUUAUCAAAGUUCAUCACUGACAUUUGUCAAAAUGUCAUGUUUUGCAGCAGCCUAUCAUUUGUCCUUGCUGGGAUUCUAAAAUUGACAGCCCCUCCAAAUGCACAUCCCAAUCAACCAAUUUCCACAAUUCCAGCCCCAUCAAAUUGCUCUUUAGCUGUUGAACUGUGGAGUUUUGUUGUCCCUUUCUAAUGCUAAUCCAUCCCAUUCAACAUCUCUCUAUGAGGCUAUUUGUUCUGAAAUAAAUCCCAUUGUUUGCCUCCUGCAUGUAUAAUUGAUAUUGUUGCCAGGUUGUUUUGUUUGUGCCGAGGAGCGCUGAAAGGCAGUACUUUGGAGAUGAUGAAGAAAAUGAGACUUGCGGCAACACUGUUCCAGCUGAGCUCAGCCAAGAUGUACACAACACAGAGAGACUGUACAACCUUAAGCAGAACAAACUGACUUGGAACAGUUGGUUCACCUCUGUGGUGUUGGGUUUAUCUGUCUUUUGUGACUGUUCUUCCACCGCUCUGGUUUUCAUGGCUCAAUACUGAAGCCAUGUUUGGGGUUAACAAAAAAAAAAAGACUCAGUCUUCAUCUGUGAAGAAAAAAGACGUAGGAGUUUCCUAUUGUUGCACAUAUAAAAUGAACUUAUUCUGAAAUAUUUUAUUCAUUCAUGGCACUGUCUGGUUAGCAUUUACAAAAAAAUGUUGAAGAACUGUGACAUUUAUCAACACAUUUUAACAUUGACAAUGCCAUUGUCCUUCCAUUCAGUUAAAGUCUAUUGAUUGCCCAGAACUCAGGUGACUCCAUGUGAAGUUGGAAAUUAAGGUCUGACAUAUUUUUUUCCAGAGAGCAUUCUGCAUCAGAGUGCAAAAGCUUUCAAGUUUCAUGUGCAAAUUCAAUGGUCACUUGUUUCUGUAAUUGGCUGAUAACGCUAAUGGAAGAGAUUGACAGGGCUUUUAUGAUUGUUUCAUAAAGUAGGCACUUAAAGUUUGCACAGUUAUAGCUUGAUUUUCAUAUUGUUCUAUUAGAGAGAUAACUUUAUCCUGAUGAUAAUAUUAGACCUAUCUGUGCAAAAACAGAUCUUAUUCAUUUUUAAAAUGAUUAAAAAUAACAUCACAGUCAAAUCUUUUUAUGGUCGUGGGUGCAUACAUGUGCCUGCAUAAGGUUUAUUUGUGUGUCCACAUUUUUGUGUAUUUUUGCCUAUGAGAGGACAGCAAUUAGUUAAGUGCUAUCAAGUGGAUGAAAAGCUGCAACAAAUCCCCUUUAUAAUUUCAUGGAAAAGAAAGCUGACUAAAUAGAAUGGGAUUGAGGGGAGCUAGUUUCCAAUGCUUGCCUUUUUGGUUGCAACUUAAGAAUAAAUUGAACACCAAGAGGGUGUG